GGUUAAGUGAAUAAGGGCGCACGGUGGAUGCCUUGGCACUAGGAGCCGAUGAAGGACGGGACUAACACCGAUAUGCUUUGGGGAGCUGUAAGUAAGCUAUGAUCCAGAGAUUUCCGAAUGGGGGAACCCAAUAUCUUUUAUAGGAUAUUACUUUUCAGUGAAUACAUAGCUGAUUAGAGGUAGACGCAGAGAACUGAAACAUCUUAGUACCUGCAGGAAGAGAAAGAAAAUUCGAUUCCCUGAGUAGCGGCGAGCGAAACGGGAAGAGCCCAAACCAACAAGCUUGCUUGUUGGGGUUGUAGGACUCCGAUAUGGUAGUCUGUUAGUAUAGUUGAAGGAUUUGGAAAAUUCCGCUAAAGAGGGUGAAAGCCCCGUAGACGAAAUGCUGACAACACCUAGGAGGAUCCUGAGUACGGCGGAACACGAGAAAUUCCGUCGGAAUCCGCGGGGACCAUCCCGCAAGGCUAAAUACUCCCUAGUGACCGAUAGUGAACCAGUACCGUGAGGGAAAGGUGAAAAGCACCCCGGAAGGGGAGUGAAAUAGAUCCUGAAACCGUGUGCCUACAACAAGUCAAAGCUCGUUAAUGAGUGAUGGCGUGCCUUUUGUAGAAUGAACCGGCGAGUUACGAUUGCAUGCGAGGUUAAGUCGAAGAGACGGAGCCGCAGCGAAAGCGAGUCUGAAUAGGGCGAAUGAGUAUGUAGUCGUAGACCCGAAACCAUGUGAUCUACCCAUGUCCAGGUUGAAGGUGCGGUAAAACGCACUGGAGGACCGAACCCACGUACGUUGAAAAGUGCGGGGAUGAGGUGUGGGUAGCGGAGAAAUUCCAAACGAACUUGGAGAUAGCUGGUUCUCUCCGAAAUAGCUUUAGGGCUAGCCUCGGAAUUGAGAAUGAUGGAGGUAGAGCACUGUUUGGACUAGGGGCCCAUCUCGGGUUACCGAAUUCAGAUAAACUCCGAAUGCCAUUCAUUUAUAUCCGGGAGUCAGACUGCGAGUGAUAAGAUCCGUAGUCGAAAGGGAAACAGCCCAGACCACCAGCUAAGGUCCCAAAAUAUAUGUUAAGUGGAAAAGGAUGUGGGGUUGCACAGACAACUAGGAUGUUGGCUUAGAAGCAGCCACCAUUUAAAGAGUGCGUAAUAGCUCACUAGUCGAGUGACCCUGCGCCGAAAAUGUACCGGGGCUAAACAUAUUACCGAAGCUGUGGACUACACCAUUAGGUGUAGUGGUAGGAGAGCGUUCUAAGGGCGUUGAAGGUCGAUCGUGAGGACGGCUGGAGCGCUUAGAAGUGAGAAUGCCGGUAUGAGUAGCGAAAGACAGGUGAGAAUCCUGUCCACCGUAUGACUAAGGUUUCCUGGGGAAGGCUCGUCCGCCCAGGGUUAGUCGGGACCUAAGCCGAGGCCGAUAGGCGUAGGCGAUGGACAACAGGUUGAUAUUCCUGUACCAGUUGUUUUUGUUUGAGCAAUGGAGGGACGCAGUAGGCUAAGGAAUGCAUGCGAUUGGAAGUGCAUGUCCAAGCAAUGAGUCUUGAGUAGAGUUAAAUGCUUUACUCUCUAAGGACAAGUUGUGACGGGGAGCGAAAUAAUAGUAGCGAAGUUCCUGAUGUCACACUGCCAAGAAAAGCUUCUAGUGAGAAAACAACUGCCCGUACCGUAAACCGACACAGGUAGUCGAGGAGAGUAUCCUAAGGUGAGCGAGCGAACUCUCGUUAAGGAACUCGGCAAAAUGACCCCGUAACUUCGGGAGAAGGGGUGCUGACUUCGGUCAGCCGCAGUGAAUAGGCCCAAGCGACUGUUUAUCAAAAACACAGGUCUCUGCAAAAUCGUAAGAUGAAGUAUAGGGGCUGACGCCUGCCCGGUGCUGGAAGGUUAAGAGGAUGGGUUAGCUUCGGCGAAGCUCAGAAUUGAAGCCCCAGUAAACGGCGGCCGUAACUAUAACGGUCCUAAGGUAGCGAAAUUCCUUGUCGGGUAAGUUCCGACCCGCACGAAAGGCGUAACGAUUUGGGCACUGUCUCAACGAGAGACUCGGUGAAAUUUUAGUACCUGUGAAGAUGCAGGUUACCCGCGACAGGACGGAAAGACCCCAUGGAGCUUUACUGUAGUUUGAUAUUGAGUGUUUGUACCACAUGUACAGGAUAGGUAGGAGCCGAUGAGACCGGAACGCUAGUUUCGGAGGAGGCGCUGGUGGGAUACUACCCUUGUGUUAUGAACCCUCUAACCCGCACCACUAAUCGUGGUGGGAGACAGUGUCAGAUGGGCAGUUUGACUGGGGCGGUCGCCUCCUAAAAGGUAACGGAGGCGCCCAAAGGUUCCCUCAGAAUGGUUGGAAAUCAUUCGAAGAGUGUAAAGGCAGAAGGGAGCUUGACUGCGAGACCUACAAGUCGAGCAGGGACGAAAGUCGGGCUUAGUGAUCCGGUGGUUCCGCAUGGAAGGGCCAUCGCUCAACGGAUAAAAGCUACCCUGGGGAUAACAGGCUUAUCUCCCCCAAGAGUCCACAUCGACGGGGAGGUUUGGCACCUCGAUGUCGGCUCGUCGCAUCCUGGGGCUGUAGUCGGUCCCAAGGGUUGGGCUGUUCGCCCAUUAAAGCGGCACGCGAGCUGGGUUCAGAACGUCGUGAGACAGUUCGGUCCCUAUCCGUCGCGGGCGUUGGAAAUUUGAGAGGAGCUGUCCUUAGUACGAGAGGACCGGGAUGGACUUACCGCUGGUGUACCAGUUGUUCUGCCAAGGGCAUUGCUGGGUAGCUAUGUAGGGAAGGGAUAAACGCUGAAAGCAUCUAAGUGUGAAGCCCACCUCAAGAUGAGAUUUCCCAUUUCUUUAAGAAAGUAAGACCCCUGAGAGAUGAUCAGGUAGAUAGGUUGGAAGUGGAAGGCUAGUGAUAGUUGGAGCGGACCAAUACUAAUCGGUCGAGGACUUAACCAA
rnacentral:rRNA from 3 species